UCGCUGACGAUGACAUUGACAUUGACAAAGCAAUGUUUUCGUUUGGAUCUACCUAAAAUUUAUUCAAUCAUAUUACACAUAUUGCGGCAGGUAGUAGGCUUUUUGUUGAAUUAAAUUAUAUUCUAGCAAAAUUAAAGAAAUUUUAAAGGCCUAGACCUGCCGCACAACAACCCAUAAAACAAACACAAUAUCAAAAAAUUCCGGACAAAUGGACCGCAAGAACAUGCUGAAACUUCUGCUCGGAACGGUAGUAACCCUACACCUGGGAUUUUACUUCGUCAAACCGCUCAUUCUGCCUCCAACGGAACCCAGUCGGACAAAUUCCUUACCGGAGAGACCUUCGUACCGAUAGAAUGAAAACAAUCGGAAGAUACCGGCGGCUGUGAUAUCUUGCAAACAGGAAUAAACUGGCAAUUUCUGAUUGGGUUGAUGAUUGAGAGUGUAAUAUAAUUGAUGAAACAAA